rnacentral:rRNA from 1 species
AUGGAGGGCGUUGCGGGUAUGAUGAGGAGCCUGAAGGUGUCUGAGGAGGAGAGGAAGGGGGUCAGAAUCCGGUCGGCGGUGAAGGAGAAGGGAAAGGCGGUGGAGUUCCAGGCAGUUGGAAGGGUGGUUUCGGAGAAGCCGGCGCAUCCUGAUGCGAUUAGCCUUUCGCUGGGAAGGGUUUGGUGCCCAAUAAAGGGGAUCGAUUGCAGGGAGGCAGGAGACAAUAGAUUUGUUUUUACCUUCAAACAAGAAUCAGGAAAGAGGAAGGCUCUGGAGGAUGGACCAUGGAUGUUUGACAAGGAGUUGGUAGUGGUGGAGGACUAUGAUCCAGCAAAAAGAAUUGAGGAUUAUGACUUUGAUGAGAUUCCAAUAUGGGUAAGAAUUUUCAACCUGCCCUUAGGCAUGAUGCACGAGGAUUCAGCAGAA